GAGAUGAACCAGCACUAAUCUGUCAUGAGACGAGAUGUGUUGGAAGAAAAAGAAUAAAUAAACGCGGCGCUGAGAGCGACAUGGCAUCCUUGAUUAUAUGUUUCCGAGAACUCCUCGCCGCGCACACCCAUCCCCAUGGAGAGAACACGUUUCAUGAUGGAGGCCCAUAACGGAAACUCACCGUGGAGACAUCUCGUACGAAAGCCUCGCACUCGCACCACCCGAGGGUACAAUUCAAAAAAUAAAUUUGGAUUUGGCGCUAAGGAGUGUAAAAAAAUGUGAGAACCUAUCCUGACUGUGACCUUACGAAGAAAAAUGGCCGAGAAGCGUGGAAAAUCGCAGACCAGACGGGUGACAAAAGCGAGACCCGAUGAGAAAAGAAGCCUUUGAGAAUUUUUAAUAAAAGACAUCUCCGGUCAAAGACUGGGCAAGGUCGUAAAAGUGGACCAUCAAAGGAUUGACCCCUGGCAGGCCGACACGCAUAUUAAGCGGACAGCCAAUGAAUUCGAAGCGUCUCCAAGUGUAAAAUUAUUAUUCAAAACAACAAAACACUGACAAACAGGCCAAGUGACGUUAUUUCGAGAUGGCUGCGGAGUUGGUUUGAUUUCAAAAUAGCUUCAAUUU